rnacentral:sRNA from 1 species
CGGGUGCGGUGGCUCAACACCUGUAAUCCCAGCACUUUGGGAGGCUGAGGCGGACGGAUCAUGAGGUCAGGAGUUCGAGACCAGCCUGACCAACAUGGUAAAACCCCGUCUCUAUUAAAAAUACAAAAAUUAGCCGGGCCUGGUGGUGCAUGCCUGUAAUCCCAGCUACCUGUGAGGCUGAGGCAGGAGAAUUGCUUGAACCCAAGAGGUGGAGGUUGCAGUGACCCGAGAUUGCACUACUGCACUCCAGCUUGGGCAACACAGUGAGACUCAGUCUAAAAAACAUAAAUAAAUAAUAAAAAUAAAAGCACCCAGUUGCAGUGCCAUUAAAUUGAUUGAGGCCUUAAAAUUUGUAUUUAUCAUACUGAAUUUAUUUUGACUUUGCUUGCUAUCAAGUUUUCUUUCUCGCAGUGGAUUGUAUUACACAGAGCAUGAAUAUACUUCUUUAGGUUACACGCAUGGGGAGAUACUCUGGAGGAAGCAUUCGAGCAAUGUGCAAUGGCCAUGUUUGGUUACAUGACAGAUACUGGGACAGUGGAGCCCCUCCAAACAGUAGAAGUAGAAACCCAAGGAGAUGACUUACAGUCUCUUCUGUUUCACUUUUUGGAUGAAUGGCUUUAUAAGUUCAGUGCUGAUGAAUUCUUCAUACCCCGGGAAGUGAAAGUACUUAGCAUUGAUCAAAGAAAUUUCAAAUUACGAUCAAUUGG